rnacentral:rRNA from 1 species
AUUGAACGCUGGCGGCGUGCUUAACACAUGCAAGUCGAGCGGUAAGGCCCCUUCGGGGGUACACGAGCGGCGAACGGGUGAGUAACACGUGAGCAAUCUGCCCUUCACACGGGGAUAACUUCGGGAAACCGGAGCUAAUACCCGAUACGACCACCUCGGGCAUCCGAAGGUGGUGGAAAGCUCCGGCGGUGAAGGAUGAGCUCGCGGCCUAUCAGCUUGUUGGUGGGGUAACGGCCCACCAAGGCAACGACGGGGGGCCGGCCUGAGAGGGUGACCGGCCACACUGGGACUGAGACACGGCCCAGACUCCUGCGGGAGGCAGCAGUGGGGAAUAUUGCGCAAUGGGCGAAAGCCUGACGCAGCGACGCAGCGUGAGGGACGAAGGCCUUCGGGUUGUAAACCUCUUUCAGCGGGGACGAAGCGAAAGUGACGGUACCCGCAGAAGAAGCACCGGCUAACUACGUGCCAGCAGCCGCAGUAAAAC